UACGUAGGGUGCAGGCGUUAAUCGGAAUUACUGGGCGUAAAGCGUGCGCAGGCGGUUUCUUAAGUCAGAUGUGAAAGCCCCGGGCUUAACCUGGGAACUGCGCUUGAAACUGGGAGACUUGAGUGUGGCAGAGGGGGGUGGAAUUCCACGUGUAGCAGUGAAAUGCGUAGAUAUGUGGAGGAACACCGAUGGCGAAGGCAGCCCCCUGGGUUAACACUGACGCUCAUGCACGAAAGCGUGGGGAGCAAACAGG
rnacentral:rRNA from 1 species